AAGAAAUGACAUGAGCAAAGUUGCUCUCAUCUAAAUUGGUGGCAAUUAUGCCAAAAGCCUUCUUUUCUCGUCUUUUGAACUCCUUAUGCUCCUUGAUGCUUGCCUCUACCCCAGGUGCCUCUUCUUCCUCACAUACAAUCUCCCAAAGAUCCAAUGACGCCAAAAGUAGCUCCAUUUUGGCCUUCCAGUGGUGAAAGUUGUCACCUUUGAACUUUUCAACCAUUUUCAAGCUAUCACCCUCAAAAGAUGCCAUCUCAAGCUACACGUAGGUCCAAAAAACUCUUGAUUUGGAGUUGUAAUGGAGAAGAUAUCACUACUCAAAGAUCGCUGAACCACAAACCCAGAAUUCGCUGUUUUGCAACUUUUUGUAAAUUAUGAGUCCAAAUCACGUCUAAAUGGUGGGGAAUGAAUUUUAAAGUAAUUCUAU
rnacentral:lncRNA from 1 species